GUUUGCGCUCACAAGCCAAAUCCGACACCAACACCAGCGCCGCCGAGGCGAGGAGAGGGGACCAAAACUGCACAACCAUCCAUCCAUCGUCGCCGCCAUGUUUUUCCAUAGGAGCCACCCGUGUGCCCUCCCUCCCUGCGACCUGCGGCGGCCUCCCCCCGUGCCUACUCGAGACCUUGCCUAGCCCCGAGGCUUCUUUCACCGCCGCCGUCGCAGGAGGAGGGGAAUACAUCGCAUGGCGGGUAGGCUCCUUGCGAAUCUGAUCGUAAUGGGCGGAACCGUGGUCGGUAGGGCCGUCCUGUAGGCUUAUCGCCAGGCCAUCGUCAAUGCAAACAAAACUGGAGCUGCCCAGGAAGCUAUAAAUGGUAUUAGAGGGGCUACCAAGGUCAUGACCGAGCAAGAAGCCCGGCAGAUCCUAGAAGUAUGACACGAUGUUUGAGAGGAAUGCCAAGAACGGGAGCUUCGAUCUCCAGUCAAAAAAGUUCAUCGUGCGAAAGAAUGUCUGGAAACUGUAUAUCAAAAGCCUGAUGUAACAAACUGAGAUUGUGUAGACGCCUAGCUUCCGUUUGAAGCACUAUGUCUAAUUGAUCAAUUUGCCGGUGUGGCUAAAGAUCGCCAUUCUGUUUUUAUGUUGGGUGCAUCAGGUUGGUUGGUUGUAACGGGAUGCAUUUUUACUGGACUCGAUAUAAGGUUCAACAAACAUACGUAGUUUUGACUGAUCCUCAU